rnacentral:lncRNA from 1 species
UUUCUUCAAUUCUUCUCUCUACACAUUGGUGUUCUAACCAAUAAUCACCGAGGCGAUAUUCUGUCCGAUCGAUUCAGGAACCAACAAACGAAUGCCAAAGUGCUGUACUUUGUGAAUUUCGUCAAACGAAUGCUAAAGUGCUGUACUUUGUGAAUUUCGUUAAACGAAUGCCAAAGUGUUGUCUGAAUAAGACUAUACUUUGUGAAUUUUGUUAAGGUUCUGAUCUCGUAACCAUCGUUAGGUUUGAUAUGGUUUUACACAAAUACGUAUUCCACUCUGUUAAACUAUAUGUUUAACUAUCAGAAUAAUCCCUACUAUACACUUACAAUCAAACAAGAUGCUUAAUCAUCAGAAGAUUCAGAACUGUAAAGUAGAUGCUUGUUUAAUCAAGACUAUAUGCUAACAAGGUGGGUCAUUCUCUUUUUAUCAAUGGUUUUACUAAAUCUCAAAUUAUUUUCAAAGUUAUAAUUACAAAGAUUAAGUCGUGGUUAUCUUGAAUCACUGGCUAGUGGGGUUUUGUGCACAUUACUAAUUUCUCACGGUUAGGCUCAUAAACCUAACAGUGAUAAUCAUCACUACUUGGGUGAAAGGACCCAAUAGUGGUAUGACCAUCGUCACCAGGGUGUGACACGGCGCCAAAUAAAAAUAAGAUAGUAGCUAUUGUAAUCGCUCUUAUGCUGUAAUCUAUAACAAUGUGUCAUUUUUGUACAAACUGAAUGACCUCACCAGUAUUUCCUGCUGACCAAAUGUUUUUAAAAUGCGUUUUAGCUAAUUACAGUAGAUCGGAAUAAGAGUUGGAUACGGCACCAAAAGACUUACAGAAGUGGCUUAAUUUAUCAAUUAAAUUAAAUUAAGAAAAGUUGUUUUUUGUAUUCGGGUUUAUCCCAUAUUAAAGCUACCUUUCAAAACAUGGUUUUAUCCCAUCUAUUUAAUAAAUAAAAUCCGGUGUUUUCUAAACUCUGAUAUUUUUCCUAACUCACGGUACUGGUGAAAUUUCCGCUGCACCACUUUCUAAAUAACCACCGGUACCACUAAACUGGUUCGCGGCUCUCGAUUCUGUCCAGGGUGGGGUCGAAGGUCAUGACAUUUGGCGUUUUAUAUAAUAAUGUAUUUUAUUUAUAGAGAAUUAGAUAACAAAACAACAUAUAACUUGAUAUCAAUACAAUAUAAAAUGAAAACAAAAUAAUUAAAAAUGGUAAUCUAGUUUUUCUUUCCAAUCUUCAAUGUCAUCAGCCUCUUCCUUCUUGAAUUUGUUUUUGGCGUUUUGAACCUUUUUUGAAUAAUUUAGCUAGAUGUCAACUUUCCUUCAUAAACCCCGUCUUUUUUAGAAGAAGCUGCUUAGUGGCAUCCUGUUUUUUGGUGUGAUAUUCUUGUUUGGUGGCAUGUCAUUAAAGAUCAACUCUUGUUUGAUGCUAUUUGUAAUAAUGGAGUCCAAAAUAGCAUUUUACACUUGUGUUGAACCCUUUAAUCCAUCCAUAUAAUCAUCAAGAAGAAAGCUCACAUGAUGGCAUAUCACUGUCAUCAGUCUCUUUUUCUUGAAUAUUUGUCCAUCUCAUUUAGCAAAAUAUUAUUGAGUUAACCCCCUCAGAAAAAGGAUCCAUUUCAGUGAAAGCUUUGCCAUCUGUGGCGUUUUAAAGGUAGUGGGUUCUAGAGGAUAUGGCGAUUAUGUUUUUUUUUUGUUGUGAUUAAUUUCAUUGUGUAUAGACCCUCUCUUAGAGGAGUUUUUUGGCGCGUAGUUUAGGCGGGACUUUUUAUUGUAAUAAAUGAUAGUAAUAAAGUUAUAG